ACACACACAAAAAAUGCAACACAGUAGUUUACUUUCUCUUUGUUUCUAAUCUCUUCCUCACCAACAACAAAACAAAAAGCAAAAUAGCAUCUCAAAUUAUCUUCCUCUCUCUAGCGCUUUUUUUCAUUUGCUACCAUCACCCCCCUUCAAUUUGCCAACAACCAAAUCCCUACUUCCUUUUCUCUACCCCUUCCUUCUUCAAUCAAUUUCCACCACCCUUCUCCAUUCUACAACCCAUUACCCUUCGCCUUACAAAUCCCUUCUGCCUCCUUCCUCUUAACCUGUCAACCCACCAACCUUCACCAACUUACAGCAACCCCCUCCGCCUCUGUAACCCUUCCACACUUUCAUCAACUUCCACCCUUCAAUCCCUUACCCACCUACUGUCCAGCUUCGCAAACACACAACCCGCCUGUUACUUCCAUUUCGGCUAG